UGAGGCUCGCGUUCGAUUCCCCGUACGGG
rnacentral:sRNA from 1 species